ACCCGCUGAACUUAAGCAUAUCAAUAAGCGGAGGAAAAGAAACCAACAGGGAUUGCCUUAGUAACUGCGAGUGAAGCGGCAAAAGCUCAAAUUUGAAAUCUGGUGCCUUCGGCGCCCGAGUUGUAAUUUGGAGAGACAUCUUCGGAGUAGACGCCGUCCUAAGUUCCUUGGAACAGGACGUCACAGAGGGUGAGAAUCCCGUGCCUGGAUGGCUGUUCUACUUCAUGUGAAGUGUCUUCGACGAGUCGAGUUGUUUGGGAAUGCAGCUCAAAAUGGGAGGUAAAUUUCUUCUAAAGCUAAAUAUUGGCGAGAGACCGAUAGCGCACAAGUAGAGUGAUCGAAAGAUGAAAAGCACUUUGAAAAGAGGGUUAAAAAGUACGUGAAAUUGUUGAAAGGGAAGCGCUUGAGACCAGACUCGACCAGUGGUGAUCAGCGGUGCUUCUGUGCCGUGCACUUGCCAUUGGUUGGGCCAGCAUCGGUUUGGACGGCGGGAUAAAGACCUAAGGAAUGUGGCUCCCUCCGGGGAGUGUUAUAGCCUUGAGUGCAAUGCCGCCAGUCUGGACCGAGGACCGCGCUUCGGCUAGGAUGCUGGCGUAAUGGUCUU
rnacentral:rRNA from 1 species